AUUGUUUCCAAUUUUUCUCUUAUCAGUUGCGUGAGUAUGGUGCGCAACCGUUUCUAGAAUACAUUUGUUGUCUUUUUAGAGUUUUUACUUUUUUGGUUAUUGCAUCGUGGCCUAGAAACGCCUGCAAUAAGACAUUACAUUCAAAAGUGAUCAUUUAGUUUAGAAUAUAUAAAAAUAAGGCAAUUUGCAAAGUCAAGCAAUUUAGCCACAUCAAGGUACCUCCUUUUUAGUUGCGUUUUUAACAAAGCUAACUGAUAACGAACUCACAAAGCGCACUUCCAACGGCUGCAACCGAGUUUUACUAGUUUAUUUGAUAAUUGGAAUUCAAGCUGCGCAGACCACAAGCAAUAUCGAAAUAAAUCCGAUAUUAAAGUUCUACCAUUGGAAUUUUAUUCAUUAUAGCAAGAUUAAUUGUCUUUCGUGAGGUACUAACAUCGAAAUUUAAAAAAUUUCAAUUCAGUUCGUUCAGAAAAGUUCGUUUUGUUAGCAGAGAAAAAGGAGUUCAGCUGCUUCAGCGCAUUUAACUAUUCGAAUUAGUCCGAUUUCGCUUGGAUUGUUUUUAUUGGAAAUUUUGCAAAAUGGUCGCUUCAUUAAAUGCUUGCCAAAACGGCAUAGUAAGUUCCGCAGUCGGGGGCGCCGCUAAUGGAGUAAUCACCAAUGGCGCAGUCAAUACAACCAAUGUGGGCAAGACUUUGACCAAGGGCAAAUACACUUUGGUGGGCAUCGAUAUUGACACAACGGGACGUCGUCUCAUCGAUGAAAUCGUCCAGUUGGCCGCAUAUACUCCAAAAGAUCAUUUUGAACAAUAUAUUAUGCCAUAUAUGAACUUGAAUCCUGCCGCUCGUCAACGUCAUCAAGUACGUGUGAUCUCAAUCGGAUUCUAUCGUAUGCUGAAAUCAAUGCAAACAUAUAAGAUUAUCAAGUCCAAAUCGGAAAUCGCUGCCUUGAAAGAUUUUCUUGAUUGGCUGGAAGCGCUUAAAGCCAAAGAUGCAGCAUCGCAAGGUAUCAUUCUAGUCUAUCAUGAGGAACGCAAAUUCAUUCCAUAUAUGAUAUUGGAGUCGCUUAAAAAGUACAAUCUGCUGGAUAGAUUCCUCAACACUGUCAAAUCUUUCGCCAAUGGUUUUAAUUUGGCCAAAGCCAAUGCCAACGAAUCGUUGCAACACUAUACAUUGCGCAAACUUUCUAAAGUCCUGAGCGCCAAAACACUCGAGAUAAACAAUAAUGCUUCCGAUGGCGACGCAAACCAGAACAUAAGCUCAACGACUGGGACGGCCGAGAGUCAGAGCCCCCAAAAGUCGUUGAAUAAGGGCGCUCCAACACAAGAGCGUGAGUUGUUUGACGGCAAUGCUAGUGUGCGUGCUAAACUGGCAUAUGAAGUAGCACUGCAGUUGAGCAACCAAGAACAAAAGGUGCCCAUUGAUUCGUCUGCUGCAUUAGAGAAGUUGCUCACCGCAUUGCAAACGUAUGCACAGCCCAUCGAAUGUGAUUUGAAUGAACUACAGACUCAAAAUGAGAAUUUAGAGCGUCAAAAUUCAUUCCGUCCGGUGUUUUUGAACUACUUCAAAACAACACUCUACCAUCGGGUGCGUGCUGUCAAAUUUCGCAUUAUACUUGCCGAACAGGGUUACGACCUGCAAACACUGAAUGAAAUUUGGAGUGAGAAACAGAAAGAGGGUCUCUCUGAAAUACUGCAAGUCAUUGAGGAGCUCAAGGCAGAAGAUAAGGCGGAGUUGGCCGAUUUAUUUGACAGUUACUUCGAUCCAAUAAAAACGACUAUUAAGCCGAUUGUUAAGAAUAAUAAUCGUCGCCGAAAUAGACGCGGAGUACGCAACAUUAAAAACGACGGCAGCAAUAGUGCUCGACCAUGUAGCGAACAAGGCGCAGGUGGCGACAAACAAGUCGCGGCCGGCUUGCUGCCCGAUUCUACAACUAAAUCUCCAUCUCCGCCUAACGGUGGCAAGCCUCAGCGCGGUAAGCGUAACCCCCGCUCCCGUAAUAACUCCUUAAAAACACAGCUACAAAGCGCCGUCGACACAAACAACAUAACGGCAGCAGUAACCAAUUAAGCAUCAAUGUUGAUCGAAAUGAAUUCUACGCAGACGCUGUUGCAACAAAAAAAUUUUAGCUCAAAUUUAAUACCAAAAAAGCUUUACUUGCAACAAAGAUUUGAUUGGUGCAUUGCAGUUUGUGUUAAAUAGAAAAAAUAUCAACUCACUAAAUAUAAUCGAGGAGGUACGAGGAAGUUAAUAGAAGAGAGCCGGUUCCGUAAACUCCUUGCUCAAAAUUUCUGUGAAUAAAAAAAUUUUAAAUGUGUGUUUAGGUUAAUCACCAAAUUUUUACGAAAAAAUUAAAUGAAAGAAGCUCGACUUUUGAAAUGCAGCAACAACAACUCAUAUACAUAUAAUGAGUUUGUAAGAUUUUUACGAAAAAGUCAAAGGAAGGAAAUUGAAUAUUCAUUCUCACAUAUAUUGAGUUAUUGAGAUUUAUGCCGUCAAUACCAGUAAAUUGGAUUGAUUUGCCGCAGCAAUGCAAGUGAAAUUAUGGAAUUUAUAUACAUACAAAUAUAUGAGAUCGCCCCAAAAAGAAAACGUGAUCAUAUCGAAGUAAUAUAAGAGCAACUAUUUAGUUGCGCUUUGAAUUCACCAUAUACCGCCUAAUUGAAUUUAGAUUCGCAGCAAGCAAUUGCCUAUCAUCAUCUAUGCCUGCUCAGCAUCGUUAAGCCACCAGCUGUGGAGAUGGGAGAAUAUUUUCGUUUUUAGUUUAAUGCAAGACUCAUUUAGUUGAAAAACGGGAGAAACCAAAAAUACUAUUGACUUAUUGUUAAAACAUAUAACAUUUAUUAUUGAGAACAAUAAUGGUUAGUUACCAUAUAAUAAUUAUUUUUACGCUUACAACAUUUUUCAAAAAUCAAGGAAUCUUAAAGCUGAUCCUUAAAUGACCUACUCAAAUCCUUCAUUAGAAUCAUAUCGGCACUCGAUAGAUUCCACUUACAUUUUAAUUUAAACGAGCUUCCUACACGAAAAUUUAAAAAAAUAUAACAAAACAAAAACAACAACUGUUCACCUCAACUUAAAAAUAAAAAUAAGUAAUUGCUACAACAGAAAAUGAUAAAAUAAACAAACUAGUAUAGAUCAGAUCCCUCACGCAAGCGCCAAUAUCAACAUAUUUCUAAAUAAUAGGCAUAGCCGAUUUGCAUGUGCCCUUAUUGUUCUAGUAUUUGCAUUGAAAAGCAUAUGAAACGCAAAUGGACAUAACUAUUUUUGAACACACUGAAAUGUUAUUGCAUUUCCACACAUAAGUUUCUUUAUGCAUACAACACAAAACCGCUCGAGUUCUAAUUAAAAAAAAAAAAACAAAUAUUCGUAAAUUUUUUUGUAUUGUUUCUGUUUGAAAAGCAAAUUUGAUAAUACUUUGUUGUGACUUCUUGUACUUAAUUUGAAAUAAAAAUUCAAAAAUCAGUUUUAA